AUCCGGCUCCUUCUCCUCCCCACAGGCGGGAGCUGCCGCCGCCCAGAGCCCCCAGGGGAGCCAACUGCGGCCCCCAGCCGAGCGCCACCGGCCCCAGGCCGCGCCUCCCUUCCACGUUUCUCCCCGGAACACCUGCCUUCACGCGGCCCCCGGCGGCCCCCGGAGUGGAUUGGGGUCGGCUACUACCCUCGCCGCCCGGAGCCGGGGGACGCCCUCCCGGGGCAUCUCCCAGCUGAGCGGGAUGAGGGAUCCCGCCCAGCUCCUGGAGCUGAGGACUGGCGUGGACGUGGUGUCGAAGAGGUGUCACCGUCAGCAGGACACAGCAUGUACAACCUCACAUAGAGUUCCUGACCAGACAAGACUUGCUGGAAAUUUCCCAGGAUCUUCCUUCCUUAAGUUUGAAUAGCUCUCUGGUUCCAGUUUGAAGCUGAAAAGGUUAAAUUCUACCUGAAGGAUGAAAACAACCAACAUUCUGUGCCAAGACAGUCAGGAGGGCAACCAUGUUUCCUGGUGGAGCCUCUGGAACCACUCAAGCCAAGAUGACCGGGGGUUUGGCUGGGAGGAGAUGGGGAAACUACAGACCCUACAGAUGGUUUCCUGUACCAUGAGGUUAAGCCUGGGGGCAGGAGAGGCUGUACCUUAGUUCCUUCAUCUGUAAAAUAAAGUAACAUAGUACCUACCUCAUAAGGGUGUUCUAAUGAUUGAACUUAUUAUACGUAAACUUUGAACAGUUUGUGGCUCAGAUUAUUAUUUCUAGUUUCUCAGAUCAGUUUUUCUGUAUUUUGACCUUGCUUAUUCUUUUGAAUGCUGCUGACAGUUCUCACAUUUCUCUUUAUCCUUUGUUGUCCAGCCAGGUUUUAAAAAGAAGGUGUAGAUCACUAGGGUUUCUUUCCUCUGCUGUUGCAUGAGUAGGAUUAUUUUCCUUCUAGGUCUCUGUAAGAAGAGUUUUGACCGAGAACUUCAUGCACUCUGUUGAAAUGGAGCACAUCUGCUAUAAAACUUCACUUUAGGGGCUGAUGAGCAGGAACUGAAUGUCAAGCUAUAGAUCCCUAAAUAAGGUUGGCUUUCAUAUGCCCUAUAUCCUUUUCAAGAUUUCAGUUAAUAGGGCAUUAAAUGGGAGUAGUGAUGAUACACUAAAGUGGUAGAUAUUGUGAAAAGAAUGUAUAGAGUACAAUAAAAUCUUUACAUAAGUUCUGCACUUGACAAGGGAGAAGAAUCAAUUGCUUAAUUAAAAGUGAAAUGUUUUUAUCACUUUGAGAUAAUGCCCUAGGAUGAUUUUGAAAGUGACAUGUAGUUGACUCUCUAGAAUUGAGAGUAAUUCUAGAAUCAUUAUGAUAUUUUUUUGUGCAUCCUUUAAUUUUAUUUAAUAGGACAAUAGAUUUUUAUUUCCCCCAGGCCGAGGCAAUGGAGUAUCUUUGAGUAAUCUGCAAGCUGGUCCAAAGGGAAUAACAAAGGAGGAAAUAUUCUUCGUAAACAAGCCCUGCAACCCAAAAGUGGAGUAAGAAUUUCCUGUCCCAGUCUUAGGAGAUGGUCAAAAGCUCUGCAUAUUUCUCCACUGAAUUAGAUUUCAUAACUUCCUGUGAUGUCAUUUGCUAUUUUUCCCCUGGCUUGAGUUAGGACUUCCCUUUCAGAGUUUUGUCAACCCAGUUUUCUUUAGACCACUUUAGAAGCAAGAAUAUCUACUACAGAUUCAUGAAAAGAGCACUGAAUAAGAAGUUAGGAUAAGUGGAUUUCUAAGGCCAAUUUUCCUUCUUACAAUUUGACUUCAGAAACGAGUACUCAUACCAAGCUCACAUUUCCUAAAUAAUUCACAUUCUUGAAAGGUAGAAAGAGCUGUCUUACGAAAUGGUGUGUUUCCUGUCAUUGAAAGUAUGCCAAAAGAUGCUUGAAAACCACUUCUUAAGACUCUUGUGCAAUUUUCAUAUAAUAAGAUUAGACUUGAUGGUUCUAUAAAAAAAACUCUCUGAAUCUUGAAACUCAAUGAUUCUGUGCUUUAGUUCUAUGAAGAGAAGAGAAGCAGGGAGGGAAUGAUGAAGGGAUCUAGCAUAUCUAUUCAGCCUUGUGUGGAUUUCAGCCUUGGUCUCUGGAGAUGCUUCAAGCUUCCUAAAGUGGUACUUCUGCCUGUCCAUUCUGACUCC
rnacentral:lncRNA from 10 species